rnacentral:rRNA from 1 species
UACAGAGGGUGCGAGCGUUGUCCGGAAUCACUGGGCGUAAAGGGCGCGUAGGUGGCUAGUUAAGCGUGUGGUGAAAGCCCGGGGCUCAACCCCGGGUCUGCCGUGCGAACUGGCUGGCUUGAGCAUAGUAGAGGCAGGUGGAAUUCCGGGUGUAGCGGUGGAAUGCGUAGAUAUCCGGAAGAACACCGGUGGCGAAGGCGGCCUGCUGGGCUAUUGCUGACACUGAUGCGCGACAGCGUGGGGAGCAAACAGG